rnacentral:tRNA from 1 species
GGUGAAAUGGCUGAGGCAUAGGCGGUAAGCUGUAAACUUACUUACGAAUAAAUUUCUUUUACCA